rnacentral:misc_RNA from 1 species
GGAUAGUACUCCUUGCCAUUGUCAAUUCUUGUGGUCUGACCACCAACAUCAAUUACUGCAGAAGUAACUGCCAAAGCAGCUCCAGCAGAUAUGGCUGUUGAAAUGCUUUUUCCUUUAUAUCCAAGAACAGAUGCUCCUGCUGCAAAACCACCUACAGCUCCAUUAAUGAAGUCUCUCUUCAUUCUAUAAUUCUGCACAAGCUGCUCGACACCAAUGUAUACCCCUCCAAUAGCAGCAAAUGUCAUGCCAUAGUUUCCCAUCAUUUUCAAGGUUCUCACAAGCCCAGGCAGAGCAACAUUUCUCUCAACGCGGGGCACAUCAUACCAAGUGGCAGCAAUUGUCCCAAAAAUGGUCCCAGCAACAAAUCCUGUAGUUGCCCCUUUAAUCGUUUUCAUUAUUGACGUAUCAUCAUCCUCCAAAUACCUACGCUCUGAAGCAUCCAUGGGUUUCUUUUUUU